CGAAUCGGCGUAACUUGUGCGCACACUUGACGCUCUCCAGAGCGACCCACACAUUACAGUCAACAUACUGCGCGUCUCUUCCUUCCAUUGGCUUUGGGCUCGAGAUGGUUUUGACGUACCAGAGCAGCAGAGGCUAAAGCGGAUAGCCAAACAAGAAGCGCAAUAUUUUUACUACACCUCAAAGCAAUCAUGCACAAAACGGAAACUGAUCGCCGCGGGGGUGUCGAUAUCGAGGAGUAAUAUUUUCUCAUUCAUCCAGUAUCAGCUGUCGAUGAACUUAUAGCGACUGACUAUUAGGCGCUGUAAGGGGAAACAAUAAUAAUCAGACGCCACUGAAGGAAGACAAACACAUAAGAAAAGCGUCUAUUCUCCCCUUUUCAUCCAUGCAUGUCUCAACAUUAGAGGUUUAAACACCAUGUCCUGCUCUGGCAACCUCAUUUGGGAUGUACGAAAACGCACCAUUGGAUGCACAGAUCCAUAUGCGGUCAGGACAAAUUAUUUAGGCAGAAGAGAGUUUGUGCAACGACUGAAACUCGAAGCUGUUCUCAAAGUGCAUGAUGGAUGCGUUAACACCAUAUCCUGGAAUGAGACAGGAGAAUACAUCUUAUCAGGUUCCGAUGACACUAACUUGGUUAUCACAAACCCUUACAACAGAAAGGUAAG